AUUGAACGCUGGCGGCAUGCUUUACACAUGCAAGUCGAACGGUAACAGGCCUUCGGGUGCUGACGAGUGGCGAACGGGUGAGUAAUGCAUCGGAACGUGCCCAGAGGUGGGGGAUAACGCAGCGAAAGCUGUGCUAAUACCGCAUGUGAUCUGAGGAUGAAAGCGGGGGACCAGGCAGCAAUGUUUGGCCUCGCGCCUUUGGAGCGGCCGAUGUCAGAUUAGGUAGUUGGUGGGGUAAAGGCCUACCAAGCCGACGAUCUGUAGCUGGUCUGAGAGGACGACCAGCCACACUGGGACUGAGACACGGCCCAGACUCCUAAGGGAGGGAGCAGUGGGGAAUUUUGGACAAUGGGCGCAAGCCUGAUCCAGCAAUGCCGCGUGAGGGAAGAAGGCCUUCGGGUUGUAAACCGCUUUUGUACGGAACGAAAAGGCUCUGGCUAAUACCUGGGGCUGAUGACGGUACCGUAAGAAUAAGCACCGGCUAACUACGUG
rnacentral:rRNA from 1 species